CUUUGAUUAGCCGUCAGCUGAAUGAUGUUGUCCCGUCCGUGCGGCUGAAGAAUGAAUAGCGGCUGGCGGUUGUAAUUGCCGGCUGGCUGACUUGCUGGUUCCCCGUACGUAGUGCACGCUAUAGUGCAAUGAAUUUCGUGCAAAUCAGGGGUUCCUGUGUUGGCUAAUCAAAGCCGCCAGCCGCCAGUCAGCCGCUAUCCACCUUUUAGCAGCACGGACGGGGAGACAUCAGUUAGCUGGCAGCUAAUCAAAGCCGCCAGCCGGCCGCUAGCCGCUCAGCUGAUAAUUAAACAACAGCAAGACCACUAUUACCCGUGGAAAAAGAAAACAGUUACGUGCGCACUGAAUAUCUGGACUUCUGCUAUAUAGGGUUCUGUACAUUUGUUUGUAGUCCGUUGCCUUGGUGAUGGUGUUGACAUGCCGUUGUGCCGCCAGUGGGUGAUGAUGUCACAUCCAACACCGGCGACCGGGUGAGCGGUCCUGGAUGGGCAAGUGGGAAUACACAUGUGGUGCACCGGUAUAAAGAUGACAGCUGUGGCAGACACCCUCCCGGAUGGAUUCCCUCCUCCCCACAGAAGGUUGCUGGUUAGGUCCAGCAUUCUGGGGUCCGCAACAUUCUGGUUUUGGCCCAAUCCUAGAGAGAUAUGGAUUUCCCGUCGCUUGGAGGUGAUAUCAUCUACGCAAAAAGAGACAGCACCGAAUCAAGAAUAACUCUGGUUGGAGCUGCAGUGUGAAAGGGAUCUGUCCCGGAUUGAAACCACGUUCCAAAUCCCAGGUCGGAAGCGGGAUUUUGGUGGAAAAGGGGUAUUGCUAAAGUUAGUCUCCUUGCUAGUGCCUAUCAUUCCAAACUAUUCCCAUGCUUUCUUUAAGCUCUCCCUUAUUUUCCCAGUUACAGACACUAGGCAUACACUCAGUAUAUAUGCAGUUACUACACUACACAAGUGUCACUAUCAUUCUAAAACUCUUCUAUUUAAUCACAACUCAGCUUCUAUUGACUACAUCACAUCAUCUUUAUCACUGCCCUGACUUUCUUUAUCACAGCUCUUCUUAUCUAUAUUUAUCACAGAUCUGCAUCUCUUAGAAUUAUUACUGCCCUCACUCAUCCUUCACACCCCUGCAGCACUUCCCCUCAGACUUUUGGGCUUCCCUCAGCCCUCCCUCACUUAGGGCAUUUCCCCCCUUUUUCUCGAUUAUAAGGUUUCAUGUUUUAUUUAGUUUAUUCCACUAGGAAUAGUAAUCAAUCAUUUAUUGAAAAUGACUACGGUAAGGCUUUUUUUUUUGCAAGAGAAACUUGUACUCUCUUACUUUUCUGCCUUUUUUUUUACACUUUAUUAUCUACUGUACCUUAGUUCCAUGGAAUCCAGGGAGGCCAAUAUCACCUUUUGGUCCUCUUGGUCCCUUGGAGAUGUGAAACAAAUUAGAAUAAUGUAACAUGACUGAUGUAAUAAGUGGAAAGAGACCAUUUAUUUUAUUUAUUUAUUUAUUUAUUUGCUCCUCUAAAAACUAAAAUACACUGGAAUUUAAUGGGUAGCACGUAUAUACAUAAAAAAAAUAAUAAUUAAAGCUACAUCUAUUUUAAUUGUUUUGAUACUAGAGCAAUUUAACUUUUGGUUAUAAUAUUAAGUGAGCUCAUAACUUAACCUCAGUCUAUUCAGUGAGUCGAUGAUCUAAAACAGCAAGCAAUUACUGUGCCACUCUAUGGUGAAUAGCCUUAUUUACAGGUCAUUCUGCUAAUUUGUUUAGAUUCUGAAAAUUGAGUUUAUUUAUAUGUAAUAAUAAUUUAUACUAUUCAUACCAAAUUCAAAAAAGUGCAGACCAGCUGUUCUCUAAUGGAAAGCAAUGUGCGCAAUUUACCUACAGUAUUUUGAUCAACCAUUGACCCAUUGACUAUUUAUUGAAAAUUUAUAAAACUUUCACUGAUGGGCGCAAGAAAUAGUUUGUUGUUACUGUCAGUUUUGGGGGCUAUACCCAAGAAACAAGAAGAGACAGAAUUAAUAUGUUGAUUAAUAUCCUACUAAAGUAUGGUCUAUGCAGUACUGAUUUCUUCUAAAGCUAAUAAAAGGCUUUCCUGUACCAAAUGCAUAAAUAUGCCACUAGCUUGAUUACAUUCUUGCUGUAAGCUGAAAAUUCUAAUAAACUUACAGACAUGAAUGAUUUUCAUUGACAAAGCCCUAAAUAACUGAUCCAGCUUACUAAACCACUUUAUGAAGUUGAACUUGUGAGAGGGGUCAUACAUUACUAUAUAAAGCACACUCAGGGUUGCAUUUCAGGGCAAAUAUAGCAUGCACUUUUAUAGAAAAUAAGAUAACCACACUCUAGUUUAGUAACCACACUCUAGUAACCUAAACAGUACUAAACUAUGUAGCGGACUGUCAGGAAACCGCAAUAAUAUUGUCACAGCUUCCACAAGUUUACACUGGUAUGCUUACUUGUGGUCCAGAUCGUUGCAGAAUGUCAGACAUAUUUAACAGUCCCUCUGUGUCGUUCAGUAGUAGCUAAUCAGAAAUAAAAACAGUCAAUGCAAUGUAUACAUUACUACAUUAAAAACAUUAUUAGCUUAAUAGUGGUUUAGACUAAAAGUGCAUAUUUACUUACAGAAAAUAAAGAGUGAUAUCAAACAUCUGAUUUAAAGGCGAAAUAUUACUAUAACUUGUUUCAAGACCUUUCCAGAGAUAACUUAAUUAGUACGGUGAAACUCAGACUGUGCAAAUACUACCUUAGGGAGCGCGAUCUGGACAGUCACUGAGUGUGUGGCGAUGAGACAUCACUGCGGGUGAUAUGAUGAGACCCGUCUGUGGCUUUAAGUUAAGUUUGGCCUGUUAUAUUUUAUACACAUGUUGAGUGCACAUUUUGUGGGUCUGUAUGGUGUUACUAUGGUAUUUAACAAGGCAGGAUGGGAUUUAAUAAAUGUUCCUGUUGGAUUGCAGAAGCGCUGUAUUGGUGCCAUUCUUUUGAUGCAUAUGGGUAUAUAUAGGAACCAGGCAGGCAUGACAAUGUUUACUACUGGGACCUAGUGAUAGAUGCACUUGCUGCUGCACUGUUGUGCCUCCUGAUGAAGGUCUGAUAUGACCGAAAACGUUUGAGAUGAUGUGGUACUGAUGAACAUGAUGGAAUAAAUCCUUUAUAUAUAUGA